GUCUCUGAACACAUCAUGCAUUGCCUUUGUUUGGACUCCGGUUUCAACACCUUUUUGGGUGCAGACAGCUGGUGAGAGGAUCCCCACAGUCAGCCUCUUUGCAGCUGUGUGGCUCUACCUGUCUGUGAAAUCGACAAAGGGUUAAGUAUGGGUGUUCCCAUUUUCCCUCUCACUCCCCCCACAGCCUCUAAUCUCUCUCACUCUCUCCUCUCCUCACUACCAAGGAGCUUUGGAGAGACUCCUAAGAACAAAGCUAUAUAUACACCUUGGGAGGGAAAACUGAGGGAACUUGCUUAAGGAUAUAUUCUGACAUUAUAGUGAAAAGAAAACAAGCCAGGGUCACCAGGAGUUUCCACUGUGUAAAAGCUUCCAUCGUGACCAAUAAAAUUUUCGAACAUUGGAUUAAGUUUCUUGUUAACCAGGUACCCAGCCUGCACUUUGCCGGGUUGUGUGUGUUGGCCGCGAGCCCUGGGAAAGUCGCCGGGUAUGUAGCUAAAGAAAGUAACUCCAACUAGAGUUGACCUGAGGCAAGUAUGCGUGGAGAAGUCUACUCUGUAUUUAGGCUAAAUGGCACCAUUUAAACAAGAAGCCUUUGUUUAUCCCUGCGGCCGGCUGCUAUCGCCUUCCAAAGCUGUUUGGAUUAUUUUGCAUCCACAGCCCCCGUUACUGUGAUGAGCGUAGGACUCUUGUGCAGAACUCCUCAGGAAUUGGUUCACGGUGAUGUGCGAGUGUGUCCUUUGGGGUCAAGAUGUGAAAAUCCU